UACGAAGGGGGCUAGCGUUGUUCGGAAUCACUGGGCGUAAAGCGCACGUAGGCGGAUCCUUAAGUCAGGGGUGAAAGUCCCGAGGCUCAACCUCGGAACUGCCUUUGAUACUGGGGAUCUUGAGUUCGGGAGAGGAGAGUGGAAUUCCCAGUGUAGAGGUGAAAUUCGUAGAUAUUGGGAAGAACACCGGUGGCGAAGGCGGCUCUCUGGACCGAGACUGACGCUGAGGCGCGAAAGCGUGGGGAGCAAACAGG
rnacentral:rRNA from 1 species